GGUGCAUCAUGUUGGGAUAUAUUAUGUAGAUGGGCUCCUGCUUGCUGGAUGCAUCUGAAAAGAGAGGAAGAGAGUUGUUAGGUGUCCAUCCCCUCCAGCUCCGAUUCCCCUUUGAACCGAACAAGUUGAUCCCCUGCCAACUUAAUCUAACGAACAACUCGGAUGAGUAUGUCGACUUUAGGUGUGUCCCAAAAAACCCCAAGAGUUUCUUGAAUGGACUGUCACGGCUCCAUGGAAGCAUGCCGCCAAACACCAGUUGCAUAUACAUUGUAACGAUGGAAAAGCACCAGCAACCACCUGCAAACAUGGUCACUCUUGAUGUUAUCCUAGAGAGCUGGGUAGGAUAUAGAUACACGUGUGGGUGGGGUAUGGAUGACUACUUCUCUACGGGGUCCAAAGAGGAUCUGAGCGGCUGUCCGGUGCAUAAGCUAACACUGAAGGCUGUUUGUGAGCCAGCAGUCGAGAUGAUGGCAUCUGAUGUUAGCCAUAUUGUUCUUCUGUGCAAAUUAACCAAUCUUAGCUUCAGAUGAUGCAUAUUUAGUUAUGUGAUAUUUCUUUGUUAUUUUCUUCUCUUGUCAACGGCCUGUUGGUGCUAUUCAUUACCUGACAGCCAAUCAAACCAGGAAUGAAAGUAAGGACUUUUAUUCUCCUACGUACGUGUACGUAUUUCUUAAUUAUUUUCACUGGACUGUAUUAAGAAAACUAUUUGUUUAGGUCAUGUACUGCAGGGAUGGCACUUUGUCGGAAAUACUAUCGAUGUAUGUGCGUCCAACGAAGCCUUGGAUUUUGGCAGCUCAUGGAAGUGGGCAUGUAUCCAUUUGGAACUAUGAGACACAGGAGAGAGUGAUGUCGCUAAGACCUGUAAAGGAGCCAGCACCAUGUGCUUGGGAUCAUUGGAUGCUUUCUGCUAAAUUCAUCGCGCGGGA